rnacentral:rRNA from 1 species
CCUACGGGCGGUAGCAGUGGGGAAUAUUGCGCAAUGGGCGAAAGCCUGACGCAGCGACGCCGCGUGAGGGAUGAAGGUCUUCGGAUCGUAAACCUCUGUCAGCAGGGAAGAACGGUCACUGUGCUAAUCAGCAGUGAAUUGACGGUACCUGCAAAGGAAGCACCGGCUAACUCCGUGCCAGCAGCCGCGGUAAUACGGAGGGUGCGAGCGUUAAUCGGAAUUACUGGGCGUAAAGCGCUCGUAGGCGGUAUGUCAAGUCAAGGGUGAAAUCCCCGGGCUCAACGUGGGGACGGCUUUUGAAACUAGCAAACUAGAGUGUGUGAGAGGAAAGUGGAAGUCCAGGUGUAGGAGUGAAAUGCGUAGAUAUCUGGAGGAACAUCAGUGGCGAAGGCGACUAUCUGGCACUUAACUGACGCUGAGGAGCGAAAGCGUGGGUAGCAAACAGGAUUAGAUACCCCAGUAGUC